AGGGUCGGACACGACUCAGAGCUGAGCGUGCAGUCAAAUCGCACUGCUCUCCACAGUGGCUGCACCAGUUCACACUGGGAGGUUAGCGUUCUUGUAAAGGAGGCCCCAAGGGCUCCCUCCCUCUGUGCCAGGACAGGACCCGGGGGUGCUGGCUGUGAACCAGGAAGGGGGCCCAACCGGAACGUGACCGUGCCAGCUCCCCAUCUUGGUCCUCCCAGCCUCCAGAACCAUGAGCCAUAUGUUUCUACUGUUUAUGUAGGCUACCCAGCCUGGGAUCUUUUGUUAUAGAAGCUUGAAUAGAUUAAGACAUGCCACACAGUGGUUUUUUUGCAUCUGAUUAAUUCACCACACCUUUUAAAUUUCUUUCAAAAUUGCUUUGCUGUGUUUAACUCUUGAUGCAUAAAGAGACCAGGUCUUCUUUCCGGGAUCAGAAGACAUCUGCUGUUGGCUAACUGCAUUGUGCUACUCGUGAUUCUCACCGUGAUGUUGGGUGACUGACUCUUUAUACCUUCUGCAUGUUUUUUUUCUCCCUAAGGAGUCCUGGAUAUGUCAGUGUAUCAUAGAUCACAAGGGAAAUUUACCAGUUGGAUCUGCUUUGAAAUUGGCUUUUUGGUGAAGCUAUAAAAAAACAAAAAAACAAAAAAAACAAACUGGGUCCUUCCUGUUUGCUCGCCUUCCUGAAGCCCAGAUGUAUCAGCUUGAAGACCGUGGUUUGAAGCAAUUGGACUUGAGAAUGGAGGAGAAUGAUCUGAGCCAGGCCCCAUCUAUCACUGGGUUUCCGGCGUCAUGAUCAAUUGACUGUGCCGUAAACAGCAUGUUGUACACGUGGCAAGUGAUAACAUCAUUUAACUCGACAGGGGUAGAGAAGCAGGCCCAGCAGUUCCACCACAGAACCUGAUCCGUGAGGAUGGGACUCCACAAAGGACCGUCUGUACCCUAGAACACAGCACCGUGCCGGGCACGUGGCAGACACUCGGCUUUCUGUACGUAACCAGAUCACCGCUCCUGCAUCUAGGGUCCCUGAAAGGCGGUAGAUUUCACACGUGUGUGCUCAGGUGCAUCCAGCUCGUUCGAGACCCCGUGGACUGCAGCCCGCCAGGCUCCCCUGUCCCUGGGAUCUCCCAGGCACGGACACUGGAGUGGGUGCCAUUUCCUCCUCCAGGGGAUCUUCCUGACUCAGGGAUCGAGCCCCUGUCUCCUGAGUCUCCUGCAGGCAGGCAGGUUCUGAGUUACUGUGCCACCUGGGAAGUCCCAGUAUAUUUUACAGAGAAUUAAUAUGCAUCAGUGUGCUGGGGCUUUUUCCAAUGGGUCAGCCAAAGUAUUGGAGU